rnacentral:rRNA from 1 species
AGCUACUAAGAGCGAAUGGUGGAUGCCUUGACUGGUAAAGGCGAUGAAGGACGUACUAGACUGCGAUAAGCUACGGGGAGCUGUCAAGAAGCUUUGAUCCGUAGAUUUCCGAAUGGGGCAACCCAAUGUAUAGAGAUAUACAUUACCUAUAUAGGAGCGAACGAGGGGAAUUGAAACAUCUUAGUACCCUCAGGAAAAGAAAUCAAUAGAGAUUGCGUCAGUAGCGGCGAGCGAAAGCGCAAGAGGGCAAACCCAGUGCUUGCACUGGGGGUUGUAGGACUGCAAUGUGCAAGAGCUGAGUUUAGCAGAACAUUCUGGAAAGUAUAGCCAUAGAGGGUGAUAGUCCCGUAUGCGAAAAACAAASCUUAGCUAGCAGUAUCCUGAGUAGGGCGGGACACGAGGAAUCCUGUCUGAAUCCGGGUCGACCACGAUCCAACCCUAAAUACUAAUACCAGAUCGAUAGUGCACAAGUACCGUGAGGGAAAGGUGAAAAGAACUGAGGUGAUCAGAGUGAAAUAGAACCUGAAACCAUUUGCUUACAAUCAUUCAGAGCMCUAUGUAGCAAUACAGKGUGAUGGACUGCCUUUUGCAUAAUGAGCCUGCGAGUUGUGGUGUCUGGCAAGGUUAAGCAAACGCGAAGCCGUAGCGAAAGCGAGUCUGAAUAGGGCGCUUAGUCAGAUGCUGCAGACCCGAAACGAAGUGAUCUAUCCAUGAGCAAGUUGAAGCUAGUGUAAGAACUAGUGGAGGACUGAACCCAUAGGCGUUGAAAAGCCCCGGGAUGACUUGUGGAUAGGGGUGAAAGGCCAAUCAAACUUCGUGAUAGCUGGUUCUCUCCGAAAUAUAUUUAGGUAUAGCGUUGUGUCGUAAUAUAAGGGGGUAGAGCACUGAAUGGGCUAGGGCAUACACCAAUGUACCAAACCCUAUCAAACUCCGAAUACCUUAUAUGUAAUCACAGCAGUCAGGCGGCGAGUGAUAAAAUCCGUCGUCAAGAGGGAAACAACCCAGACUACCAGCUAAGGUCCCUAAAUCUUACUUAAGUGGAAAACGAUGUGAAGUUACUUAAACAACCAGGAGGUUGGCUUAGAAGCAGCCAUCCUUUAAAGAAAGCGUAAUAGCUCACUGGUCUAGUGAUUUUGCGCGGAAAAUAUAACGGGGCUAAAGUAAGUACCGAAGCUGUAGACUUGCGCACAACUUAGAUUAUUUAAGUUUAGAAUAUGAGAAACUAAGUUAUGUUUAGUUAUAUUUUUACUGAUUUUUAUAGAGUAAAGAUAGAAAUAAAACUUAGUAAAAUCAGUAAAAAUAUUCUUAGGCUAAAGUUAAGUAGUUUAAGUUUUGUGCAAGUGGUAGGAGAGCGUUCUAUUUGCGUCGAAGGUAUACCGGUAAGGAGUGCUGGAGCGAAUAGAAGUGAGCAUGCAGGCAUGAGUAGCGAUAAUUAAUGUGAGAAUCAUUAACGCCGUAAACCCAAGGUUUCCUACGCGAUGCUCGUCAUCGUAGGGUUAGUCGGGUCCUAAGUCGAGUCCGAAAGGGGUAGACGAUGGCAAAUUGGUUAAUAUUCCAAUACCAACAUUAGUGUGCGAUGGAAGGACGCUUAGGGCUAAGGGGGCUAGCGGAUGGAAGUGCUAGUCUAAGGUCGUAGGAGGUUAUACAGGCAAAUCCGUAUAACAAUACUCCGAGAACUGAAAGGCUUUUUGAAGUCUUCGGAUGGAUAGAAGAACCCCUGAUGCCGUCGAGCCAAGAAAAGUUUCUAAGUUUAGCUAAUGUUGCCCGUACCGUAAACCGACACAGGUGGGUGGGAUGAGUAUUCUAAGGCGCGUGGAAGAACUCUCUUUAAGGAACUCUGCAAAAUAGCACCGUAUCUUCGGUAUAAGGUGUGGUUAGCUUUGUAUUAGGAUUUACUCCGAAAGCAAGGAAACUUACAACAAAGAGUCCCUCCCGACUGUUUACCAAAAACACAGCACUCUGCUAACUCGUAAGAGGAUGUAUAGGGUGUGACGCCUGCCCGGUGCUCGAAGGUUAAUUGAUGGGGUUAGCAUUAGCGAAGCUCUUGAUCGAAGCCCGAGUAAACGGCGGCCGUAACUAUAACGGUCCUAAGGUAGCGAAAUUCCUUGUCGGUUAAAUACCGACCUGCAUGAAUGGCGUAACGAGAUGGGAGCUGUCUCAAAGAGGGAUCCAGUGAAAUUGUAGUGGAGGUGAAAAUUCCUCCUACCCGCGGCAAGACGGAAAGACCCCGUGGACCUUUACUACAGCUUGACACUGCUACUUGGAUAAGAAUGUGCAGGAUAGGUGGGAGGCUUUGAGUAUAUGACGCCAGUUGUAUAUGAGCCAUUGUUGAGAUACCACUCUUUCUUAUUUGGGUAGCUAACCAGCUUGAGUUAUCCUC